CUACGGGGUGCUGCAAUGGGGAAUAUUGGGCAAUGGGCGCAAGCCUGACCCAGCAACGCCGCGUGAGGGAAGAAGGUUUUCGGAUUGUAAACCUCUGUCCUUAGGGAAGAAGAAAGUGACGGUACCUAAGGAGGAAGCCCCGGCUAACUACGUGCCAGCAGCCGCGGUAAUACGUAGGGGGCAAGCGUUGUCCGGAAUGACUGGGCGUAAAGGGCGUGUAGGCGGCUGCUUAAGUCUGAUGUGAAAUACCCAUUUUUAAGGUGGGUCGUGCAUUGGAAACUGAGUAGCUUGAGUGCGGAAGAGGUAAGUGGAAUUCCCGGUGUAGCGGUGAAAUGCGUAGAGAUCGGGAGGAACACCAGUGGCGAAGGCGACUUACUGGGCCGCAACUGACGCUGAGGCGCGAAAGCGUGGGGAGCAAACAGGAUUAGAUACCCCGGUAGUC
rnacentral:rRNA from 1 species